GCAGACAGCUAUCGAGACGCUAAGCACAGAGAAACAUUCACUUAUCAUUCAGAUGGAACGACUGAAGCAACAAUAUGAUGAAUCCCAAAGCAUGCUUAACAGAGAUCCUCCAACAUCUUAUCGUCAGGAUGAUGUGAGAAAUCGUGUACCAAGUUUCCUCGUAGAGUCUCCCUUCGAUGGGGGUGUGGCUCAAAAGUGAAAAGGGCAUACACCACCCUGGACAAGUUCUCUGUCAGACUGGGUAUAUUCCUGCGGCGUUAUCCCAUCGCCAGAGUUUUUGUGAUUUUGUACAUGUGCCUUUUGCAUGUCUGGGUGAUGAUCGUGCU
rnacentral:lncRNA from 1 species